rfam:Ovis aries breed Texel chromosome 1, whole genome shotgun sequence.
UCCCUGGUGGUCCAGUGGUUAAGACUUGGGGCUGUCACCGCCAGGGCCCCAGGUUCCAUCCCUGGUUGAGGAA